AACGAACGCUGGCGGCGGGCCUAACACAUGCAAGUCGAACGCCCCGCAAGGGGAGUGGCAGACGGGUGAGUAACGCGUGGGAACCUACCUUUCGGUGCGGAAUAACUUCGGGAAACCAAAGCUAAUACCGCAUACGCCCUACGGGGGAAAGAUUUAUCGCCGAUAGAUGAGGCCGCGUCGGAUUAGCUAGUUGGUGAGGUAAUGGCUCACCAAGGCUACGAGGCGUAGCUGGUCUGAGAGGAUGAUCAGCCACACUGGAACUGAGACACGGCCCAUACUCCUACGAGAGGCAGCAGUGGGGAAUAUUGGACAAGGGGCGCAAGCCUAAUCGGGCCAUGCCGCUUGAGUGAAGAAGGCCUUAGGGUUGUAAAGCUCUUUUAGUGGGGACGAUAAUGACGGUACCCACGGAAUAAGCCCCGGCUAACUUCGUGCCAGCAGCCGCCGUAA
rnacentral:rRNA from 1 species